GUACCCGGGGUGGGGGGGGCUGUCGGCGGGCGGCAGGCCAGCUCGGUGCCCAGAGCCCGCAGUGAGGAGGCAGCGUGGGCAGCGGCCGCACUGACGGUGGUGUUGGCGCUACUGACCGUGGCCGUACUCUACACCCGCCUCUACCGUCGCUUCAUCCGGAGCCGCAGCCUCUACUGGACCCCCGCCCACUGCAGCACCGAGACCGUGGCAGAUAUAAUAAAGAGAAGAAUUGUCAGGUUUGGCAAGAGGAAAAAGCGGUCACCGGUUAGGAAGAAAUUCUCUGCACCGUACAACGCACUCCCCAGUGAGAUUAGCGACUGACUGGAGCAAAGUGAUGGGUUCCAUCUGCCAGCUUGUCCAUGGUGUGAGUGGCUGUGAAGUGACUCGAAUGUGCAGCAGAGUUGGACCUGCACCUGGACAACAACAAGACUGCAAUACUGGCCGUGGGCCCUGAGCGAGCGUGAGGACUUCUAACGAUUUAUUUUACCACAAUCUUCCGUGACACAAGAUGCUUUGUUCCAAGAUUUACAUCGUACGUUCUGGAGUGAUCUACAGAUCAACCCUCUCUCUCUCUUGAGAGAAACAGGAGGGAAAUCGCACCCUUUUACAGUAGAAUGUAGAGUUGAUAUAAUGUCAUUGUGAACCAAGUCAAUUUUAAUCGAGUCGAGUGUGACGUGGGUCAGAUUACAGGUACAUGGGUCAGAUUACAGGUACAUGGGUCAUUAUGCAAGUUUAUGGUUUACGAGGUUUAUACAAGAAUAUUUGGGCCACGGCCUCAGGGAUGGGUGUGGACUGAGCUCUCGAAUAAUUCCAGAUCUUAUAAUCUUGUAUAAUUAGGAUCAGAGGUCAAAGCCUCAGAAUUAAAGGACGUUCCUUUGGGAAGGAGAUGAGGAGGAAUUUCUUUAGUCAGAAGGUGGUGAAUCUGUGGAAUUCUUUGCCACAGAAGCUAGUGGAGGCCAAG